rnacentral:rRNA from 1 species
AUUGAACGCUGGCGGCAGGCCUAACACAUGCAAGUCGAACGAGUGGCGGACGGGUGAGUAAUGUCUGGGAAACUGCCUGAUGGAGGGGGAUAACUACUGGAAACGGUAGCUAAUACCGCAUACCAUCAGAUGUGCCCAGAUGGGAUUAGCUUGUUGGUGGGGUAACGGCUCACCAAGGCGACGAUCCCUAGCUGGUCUGAGAGGAUGACCAGCAACACUGGUACUGAGACGCGGUCAGGACUCAUACGGGAGGCAGCAGUGGGGAAUAGUGAACAAUGGGGGGAAGCCGGAUGCAGCAAUGCCGCGUGUAUGAAGAAGGCCUUCGGGUUGGAAAGUACUUUCAGCGGGGAGGCGUUACCCGCAGAAGAAGCACCGGCUAACUCCGUGCCAGCAGCCGCGGUAAUUC